rnacentral:rRNA from 1 species
UACGAAGGGGGCUAGCGUUGCUUGGAAUUACUGGGCGUAAAGGGCGCGUAGGCGGACAGUUUAGUCAGAGGUGAAAGCCCAGGGCUCAACCUUGGAAUUGCCUUUGAUACUGGCUGUCUUGAGUUCGGGAGAGGUGAGUGGAAUUCCCAGUGUAGAGGUGAAAUUCGUAGAUAUUGGGAAGAACACCGGUGGCGAAGGCGGCUCACUGGCUCGUAACUGACGCUCAUGCACGACAGCGUGGGGAUCAAACAGG